AGUAAGAUUACUGAGUCAUGUGGUAAAUAUUUGUUUAGUUUUUAAAAAAUUGUCAAAUUGUUUUGCAGAGUGUUUGUACCAUUAUACAUUUCCUGUAGCAAU
rnacentral:pre_miRNA from 1 species